rnacentral:rRNA from 1 species
AUUGAACGCUGGCGGCAGGCCUAACACAUGCAAGUCGAGCGGAUGAAGGGAGCCUGCUCCUGGAUUCAGCGGCGGACGGGUGAGUAAUGCCUAGGAAUCUGCCUGGUAGUGGGGAUAACGUCCGGAAACGGGCGCUAAUACCGCAUACGUCCUGAGGGAGAAAGUGGGGGAUCUUCGGACCUCACGCUAUCAGAUGAGCCUAGGUCGGCUUAGCUAGUUGGUGGGGUAAAGGCCUACCAAGGCGACGAUCCGUAACUGGUCUGAGAGGAUGGUCAGUCACACUGGAACUGAGACACGGUCCAGACUCCUACGGGAGGCAGCAGUGGGGAAUAUUGGACAAUGGGCGAAAGCCUGAUCCAGCCAUGCCGCGUGUGUGAAGAAGGUCUUCGGAUUGUAAAGCACUUUAAGUUGGGAGGAAGGGCAGUAAGUUAAUACCUUGCUGUUUUGACGUUACCAACAGAAUAAGCACCGGCUAACUUCGUG